UAAAUCAAGAUGCUUUGACACUUGUAGUGUAAUGUAAUGACAGGGGGAAGAGGAAGAAGAGCAGGAGGUGCAGGUUUCCUGGCAUGUGGGGUCUGAGCAGGUGGUGCAGGGCACUGGCACGCCUGGGUCCAUGGGACCCCAGCCACAGCCUUCUCUCUUCGCCAGGCCUGUGGAGGCCACUUGCUCACCUCUAGUGGCAGUUAGUGAAGCCAUGGCUUAGAACCUUGGCCCGCAUGCCAGAUGCUGCCCCGUGAUUGGCUGUCAGAAUGCCAUGACAUCACAGCCACUGGGAAUUUUAAACCGGGACAUGAGGCAGUCUGGCCAGUAGUGCAUCAACUGAGCUACUGAACUGCUGUUGGUAGCGAAGGCUGGAGCACAGCUGAAGGAUGCAGAUGGGUUCGCGAUGGAGAUUGGACAUGGUUGCUGUGAGGGCCCGAUGGGACCGUGAGCGAGCAGCGACAAUUGCCAAAUAUGAGCAGGGCCGCCGAGGUGCGGCUCUAUUUGAGCCUGAAGAAGAGGAUGAUGACAGCGGCCGCCUCUUCCUAGACAGGCUUGGAUUUUUACAGUGAGUCAUUCGCAGCCCUGCUCCUUCCAGGCCAGGGAACCAUCUCAGUGUGCCCUGCCUUGAGGCUGAACACCUGUCCCCAGG